UACUUGGUUGAUCCUGCCAAGGAAGCACACUUAGGUCAUAGAUUAAGCCAUGCAAGUGUUAGUUCAGGUAACGAAACUGCGAAUAGCUCAUUAAUACGCUCAGAAUCUAUUUGGCGGCGACCAACAGGUCUUAAAUGGAUAGCAGCAGCAACUCUGGUGCUAAUACAUGCGAUUGUUUCUCCAGAUGUGAAUUAUGGAGGAAAAGUUGACCUCAUCAGAGGCACGCCAUUCGACUGAGUGACCUAUCAGCUUGUACUUAGGGUCUUUACCUAGGUAGGCUAUCACGAGGUAACGGGCGGUUACCGUCGGACUGCCGGAGAAGGCGCCUGAGAGAUAGCGACUAUAUCCACGGGUAGCAGCAGGCGCGAAACUUUCCCACUCGAGACUUUCGGAGGAGGUAAUGACCAGUUCCAUUGGUGCCUUUUGGUACUGUGGAUAGGGGUACGGUUUUCCACCGUACCGAAACCUAGCAGAGGGCCAGUCUGGUGCCAGCAGCUGCGGUAAUUCCAGCUCUGCGAGUUUGCUCCCAUAUUGUUGCAGUUAAAACGCCCGUAGUCUGAAUUGGCCAGCAAUGGUCGUACGUAUUUUUACGUUCACUGUGAACAAAUCAGGACGCUUAGAGUAUGGCCACAUGAAUGACUCAGCGCAGUAUGAAGUCUUUGUUUUCUUCCGAAAACAAGCUCAAUGAGAGCCAUCGGGGGUAGAUCUAUCUCAUGACGAGUGGUGGAAUACUUUGACUCAUGAGAGAGAAGCUGAGGCGAAGGCGUCUACCUAGAGGGUUUCUGUCGAUCAAGGGCGAGAGUAGGAGUAUCCAACAGGAUUAGAGACCCUGGUAGUUCCUACCUUAAACGAUGCCGACAGGAGUUUGUCAUUUGUUAAUGGCAGAAUCUUUGGAGAAAUCAUAGUUCUUGGGCUCUGGGGGAACUACGACCGCAAGGCUGAAACUUGAAGGAAUUGACGGAAGGGCACACCAGGGGUGGAGCCUGUGGCUUAAUUUGAAUCAACACGGGGAAACUUACCAGGACCAGAUGUUUUUUAUGACUGACAGGCUUCGGGUCUUUCAGGAUAUUGUUUUUGGUGGUGCAUGGCCGUUGGUGGUGCGUGGGUUGACCUGUCUAGCGUUGAUUCAGCUAACGAGCGAGAUUAUCGCCAAUUAUUUACUUUGCCGAAGUCCUUCGGUUAAAGUUCUAAUUGG
rfam:Trichomonas vaginalis G3, whole genome shotgun sequence.